rnacentral:tRNA from 1 species
GGAGAAAUGCCAGAGUGGUUUAAUGGGAUGGUCUCGAAAACCAUUGUGCUUCUUUGAGGCACCGAGGGUUCGAAUCCCUCUUUCUCCGCCA